UUUGAACGGGUUGUAGCUGGCCUCUCACGAGGCAUGUGCACGCCUGGCUCAUCCACUCUUAACCUCUGUGCACUUUAUGUAAGAGAAAAAAAUGGUGGAAGCUUCCAGGAUCUCGCGAGAGGUCUUUGGUUGAACAAGCCGUUUUUCUUUCUUAUGUUUUACUACAAACGCUUCAGUUAUAGAAUGUCAACUGUGUAUAACACAUUUAUAUACAACUUUCAGCAACGGAUCUCUUGGCUCUCGCAUCGAUGAAGAACGCAGCGAAAUGCGAUAAGUAAUGUGAAUUGCAGAAUUCAGUGAAUCAUCGAAUCUUUGAACGCACCUUGCACUCCUUGGUAUUCCGAGGAGUAUGCCUGUUUGAGUCUCAUGGUAUUCUCAACCCCUAAAUUUUUGUAAUGAAGGUUUAGCGGGCUUGGACUUGGAGGUUGUGUCGGCCCUUGUCGGUCGACUCCUCUGAAAUGCAUUAGCGUGAAUCUUACGGAUCGCCUUCAGUGUGAUAAUUAUCUGCGCUGUGGUGUUGAAGUAUUUAUGGUGUUCAUGCUUCGAACCGUCUCCUUGCCGAGACAAUCAUUUGACAAUCUGAGCUCAAAUCAGGUAGGACUACCCGCUGAACUUAAGCAUAUCAAUAAGCGGAGGAAAAGAAACUAACAAGGAUUCCCCUAGUAACUGCGAGUGAAGCGGGAAAAGCUCAAAUUUAAAAUCUGGCGGCUUUGGUCGUCCGAGUUGUAUUCUAGAGAAGUGUUUUCCGCGUUGGACCGUGUAUAAGUCUCUUGGAAUAGAGCGUCAUAGAGGGUGAGAAUCCCGUCUUUGACACGGACUACCAAUGCUUUGUGAUACACUCUCAAAGAGUCGAGUUGUUUGGGAAUGCAGCUCAAAAUGGGUGGUAAAUUCCAUCUAAAGCUAAAUAUUGGCGAGAGACCGAUAGCGAACAAGUACCGUGAGGGAAAGAUGAAAAGCACUUUGGAAAGAGAGUUAAACAGUACGUGAAAUUGCUGAAAGGGAAACGCUUGAAGUCAGUCGCGUUAGCUAGAACUCAACCAGGCUUGCUUGGCGUAUUUUCUAGUUAACGGGCCAGCAUCAGUUUUGACCGCAGGAAAAGGGCCAGGGAAAUGUGGCAUCUUCGGAUGUGUUAUAGUCUCUGGUCGUAUACUGUGAUUGGGACUGAGGACCGCAGCACGCGCAAGCUGUGCUUAGGAUGCUGGCGUAAUGGCUUUAAACGACCCGUCUUGAAACACGGACCAAGGAGUCUAACAAACCUGCGAGUAUUUGGGUGGCAAACCCGAGUGCGCAAUGAAAGUGAAAGUUGGGAUCCCUGUCGUGGGGAGCACCGACGCCCGGACCAGACCUUCUGUGACGGAUCUGCGGUAGAGCAUGUUUGUUGGGACCCGAAAGAUGGUGAACUAUGCCUGAAUAGGGUGAAGCCAGAGGAAACUCUGGUGGAGGCUCGUAGCGAUUCUGACGUGCAAAUCGAUCGUCAAAUUUGGGUAUAGGGGCGAAAGACUAAUCGAACCAUCUAGUAGCUGGUUCCUGCCGAAGUUUCCCUCAGGAUAGCAGAAACUCAUAUCAGAUUUAUGUGGUAAAGCGAAUGAUUAGAGGCCUUGGGGUUGAAACAACCUUAACCUAUUCUCAAACUUUAAAUAUGUAAGAACGAGCCGUCACUUAGUUGGACCGCUCGGCGAUUGAGAGUUUCUAGUGGGCCAUUUUUGGUAAGCAGAACUGGCGAUGCGGGAUGAACCGAACGUGAGGUUAAGGUGCCGGAAUACACGCUCAUCAGACACCACAAAAGGUGUUAGUUCAUCUAGAC
rnacentral:rRNA from 1 species